CCCUUAGAUGUCCUGGGCCGCACGCGCGUUACACUGAUGCAUUCAACGAGCUUAUAACCUUGGCCGAGAGGCCUGGGCAAUCUUGUUAACGUGCAUCGUGAUAGGGAUAGAUUAUUGAAAUUAUUAAUCUUGAACGAGGAAUUCCUAGUAAACGCAGAUCAUCAAUCUGCAUUGAUUACGUCCCUGCCCUUUGUACACACCGCCCGUCGCACCUACCGAUUGGAUGGUCCGGUGAGGCUUUGGGAUCUGAGCGGAAAGAGCGUUUCGCUCGUUCUGCCCGGAAAACUCAGUCGAACCUUAUCAUUUAGAGGAAGGAGAAGUCGUAACA
rnacentral:rRNA from 1 species